rnacentral:rRNA from 1 species
AGGUGCUGCAUGGCUGUCGUCAGCUCGUGUCGUGAGAUGUUGGGUUAAGUCCCGCAACGAGCGCAACCCUUGUCACUAGUUGCCAUCAUUGGUUGGGCACUCUAGUGAGACUGCCGGUGACAAACCGGAGGAAGUGGGGAUGACGUCAAGUCCUCAUGGCCCUUAUGGGUAGGGCUUCACACGUCAUACAAUGGUCGGUACAGAGGGUUGCCAAGCCGCGAGGUGGAGCCAAUCCCACAAAGCCGAUCGUAGUCCGGAUCGCAGUCUGCAACUCGACUGCGUGAAGUCGGAAUCGCUAGUAAUCGUGGAUCAGCAUGUCACGGUGAAUACGUUCCCGGGUCUU